rnacentral:misc_RNA from 1 species
UUUUUGUUUUCAAGUUAAUUGACUAGUUUUAUUAUUGAAUCACGAUUCGUGUCGUCUGUCGAGGUCUUUAAGGCUUGUGCGACCUACGCAGGCGUCACCGUCAUUCUUGUCGAGGACUGCACCCACGCUGUAUUACUCAAUCAGCUACAAAUUUGUGCAACCCUACUACUUUUAACUUUUGCAACCCUAUACUAGCAGCGUGUAUAAUUUCAUCGUCGUCUGUCUGUUUCUCAUAGUUUUAAAAUAUGUGUUAAUGAUAACAUUCGUCAAUUAAAGUAAUGAAAUUGUAAUA